GAUGAACGCUAGCGGCAGGCUUAACACAUGCAAGUCGAGGGGUAUAGUUCUUCGGAACUAGAGACCGGCGCACGGGUGCGUAACGCGUAUGCAAUCUACCUUUUGCAGAGGGAUAGCCCAGAGAAAUUUGGAUUAAUACCUCAUAGUAUGUGAGAAUGGCAUCAUUUUCACAUUAAAGUCACAACGGCAAAAGAUGAGCAUGCGUCCCAUUAGCUAGUUGGUAAGGUAACGGCUUACCAAGGCAACGAUGGGUAGGGGUCCUGAGAGGGAGAUCCCCCACACUGGUACUGAGGCACGGACCAGACUCCUACGGGAGGCAGCAGUGAGGAAUAUUGGACAAUGGGCGCAAGCCUGAUCCAGCCAUGCCGCGUGCAGGAUGACGGUCCUAUGGAUUGUAAACUGCUUUUGUACAGGAAGAAACACUGGUUCGUGAACCAGCUUGACGGUACUGUAAGAAUAAGGAUCGGCUAACUCCGUG
rnacentral:rRNA from 1 species